rnacentral:rRNA from 1 species
GACGGAGGGGGCAAGCGUUGUCCGGAUUUACUGGGCGUAAAGGGCGCGUAGGCGGUUCCUUAAGUCGCCGGUGAAAUCGCUCGGCUCAACCGAGCAACGGCCGGCGAUACUGGGGAACUUGAGUCCGGGAGAGGAGAGUGGAAUUGCCGGUGUAGCGGUGAAAUGCGUAGAUAUCGGCAAGAACACCAGUGGCGAAGGCGGCUCUCUGGACCGGUACUGACGCUGAGGUGCGAAAGCUAGGGGAGCGAACGGG